rnacentral:rRNA from 1 species
GCGAACGGGUGAGUAAAAAUAGGGUGAGCUGCCCUGACUUAUAGAUAAGCCUGGGAAACUGGGUCUAAUACCGGAUAUGACCAACUGUCGCAUGGUGGUUGGUGGAAAGCUUUUGCGGUGUGGGAUGGGCCCGCGGCCUAUCAGCUUGUUGGUGGGGUAGUGGCCUACCAAGGCGACGACGGGUAGCCGACCUGAGAGGGUGAUCGGCCACACUGGGACUGAGACACGGCCCAGACUCCUACGGGAGGCAGCGGUGGGGAAUAUUGCACAAUGGGCGCACGCCUGAUGCAGCGCCGCCGCGAGAGGAAUGACGGCCUUCGCGUUGUAAACCUCUUUCCCCAGGCACGAGGCGGGAGUGACGGUCCGUGGUGAAGAAGCACCGCCCAACUACGUGCGAGCCGCCGCGGUAUUGCGUAGGGUGCGAGCUUUGUCCGGAAUUACUGGGUGUAAGGGGUGCGUAGGCGGUUUGUCGCGGCGCCUGUGAAAUUCUGCAACUCAAUUGCGGCCGUGCAGGCUAUGCGGGCCGACUUGAGUCCUACGGGGGAGACUGUAAUUCGUGGUGUAGCGGUGAAAUGCGCAGAUAUGGGGAGGACAACCGGUGGCGAAAGCCGGCUCUCUGGACAGUAACUGACGCUGAGGCGGGAAGGCGGGGGUGGCAACCGGCAUUAGAUACCCUGGUAGCCCACGCGGCAGACGGGGGGUACUAGGUUUGGGUUCUUUUUUACGGGGUUCCGUGCCGGAGCUUGGGAAUCAAGUCCUCCCGCGUGGGGGGGCACGGCCGGCAGGAUUAACAUUCAAAGGUACUUGUGGGGGGCCCGGAACAUGCGGGGGGAGCGUUGUGGAUUAUUUCGGUUGCACCGGAAGGCACCUUUACUUGGGUUUAAGAAUACACCAAAAGCGGGUAAGGGAAGGUCCUUCCCCUUGGGGGUUGG